rnacentral:lncRNA from 1 species
AUGUUGGAAUUUGCCGAGUGUUUGGUAAGGACAGCCUGGAGAAGCCUCAACUUUGAGAAGCCCCCUGGCCCCAGUGCUCAGUGUGUGGGGCUGGCAGCUGUGGCCCCUGCCCGGUGCUGCACCCAGGGGCGCCAGCCUGCGCCCCACACGCUGCUCCCUUCCCUGGGCCCUACAGCUUCUUCUCCAGGCUCCUGUGGCCCCGAACUGGGUGCUGAUGGAGCCCCAGCCCUGCGGGGCUGCAGGCCGGGGCGGCACCGCGGCUCCCCGGGCAGCAGCCGGCCCUCUGCCCCCUCCAGAGCUCGGCGCCAGCGGCUGCUGGCCGGGCCUCAGGGCUGGGCGGGCACGGGAGGCCGGGGCUGGCCGCAGGCAGUGCCCGGCCGAGGGGCAGAGCCCGCACCAACCCUUCCCUCCUACCGCUCUCUCCAGCUGGCACAGGACGAGAGCCGAGCGGCCGAGCACCUGCGCCGGGCCCUGCCGUACCUGCAUAACCCACAGGAGCGCCUGCGAGCGCCGGCCAUCAGGUUCAUUGGGAUGGCCGGGCGGCUCCUGAGAGGGCAGCAGGAAGAGCUGCAGGUCCUCACUGAGGCACUUCAAGCCCUGAGGAGAGAUGGCAACCCUUCCCAUUCAAACACAGCACUUCAGGAGAUAUUCAGUGAAAGAGCUGCAGAACUACACUCAUCUGCUGGCUCAGAAUAACCAGUGUUCAUUUAAGACCUUCAGAUGCCUUGGAAGAUGAGACUACACUGAGACCAGAAGGGACCAGCUGGAGCUCCAGGCACUGCUGAUGACUGGCACAGCUGAGCCUUUGGGAAGCUCUUGUGGCUUCAGCCCUCUCCCUGCCUCUAGAUAGCUCCCUCCCUGCAGCCCUCAGACACUGCCCAUGCCUUCUUUUUCCCUCCACUCUCCCUCCCUUUUGACAGCUCCCUCCCUCCAGCCCUCAGACACUGCCCAUCCCCAUUUUUGCCUCUCAGCUCAUCCCUUUGCUUCGCUUUCCAUCAAUAAACAGUUUGACUUUUUCA